AAUUCUAAAGUUUUUUAGAGGCUUGUGUUCUUUGUUCUACUGGUACUGAAACUCACCACCAUCUAUUCUCCGAAUGUACCUACUCCUCUGUUUGGCUUUACUUUGCUUCUCAAAUCCGAUUAUUUCCUCCGAUGGAUUUGCACUCUGCGGCUGCAUGGAUUCUUAGCAACCAGCAACAAACAUCCACCCAGGCGGCAACCAUUCUCAAGAUUAUCUUCCAAGCAUCCAUCUAUCUCCUUUGGAAGGAGAAAAAUGCAAGGAUCUUCGCGGGUAUAUCUACUUCAGCUGAAGGUCUCAAGCACAGCAUUGACCGGUUAGUUCGCAACCGGCUCUUGUCCUUUCCAGCCACAUAUGCCGCUCCUGCCUAUCUUCUCCAGUUCUACUUCUCUUAUAUUAGGCCCCUUUGAGGGAUUCCAGCUUGUAUUGGGUUGUUGGUGUUUCUUUCUUUUUUUGUUGGAAUGAGUUGCUUGCAACAUUGUAAUUUUUUAAAAAAUUGAAAUUGGUAUAAAUUUUAACAUUUUACCGAAAAAAAAAAAAUUCUAAAGUUUUUUUUUGUUAUUUAAAUUAACGAAUUUGCUUCUUGGCAUCAAACAAACUUUCUGAUGGAGGGCAUGAACAAGAUAUCAGCUCGAUAACUCUAGAGACAUGCUUCUUGAAGAAGAUGAAUUUAAUCGAAUCUCUUUCAAGACUUUUCGAACAAGAUGAAUUGAAUUAAAUCUCUUUCAAGGUAUAAAACACAAAGCUAGUUUAUCAGAAGCGUGUCUUACAAAAGCCAUAAGAGAGUUCAUUAUAUAGAACUCUUAAACCGUCAUUAAAAUCCUUAACCUAAAUAGAAAAGGCAAAACACAAACCCUAAGUAAAAAGGAAAUAACUAAAACGGAAACUUAUCGUUGAAGCAACUAGGAUGCUGCUGCAUCAAGUCCCCCGGGGUGAAGAGGAUUCUUCUGCGAAUCUUAAGGGACGUCCGGCGGAAAAUAUCGGGACAGGUACUUGACAUUGAAAACAUCAGAAGUAGUGAUAUCCGAAGGAAGGCGUAGUCGAUAGGCGUUGUCAUUUAUAUGUUCAAGAACUUCCACCGGGCCGAUCUUCUUUGCCUUGAGUUUAUUAUACGCAUGUGCCGGCAUAUCUUUCUUUCUUCUUUUCUUUUCGGAAUCUGAAGAGUGAUUGGGGAAAAUUGGACGAUUUUGAUUGGUUUGGCUGUUGUUGUUUUUUUUUUAAAUUUGUUUUCUUUUCUUUUCUAAUUUUCUUCUUCGAUUAGGUGACAACAUCGAUGACCAACAAUGACCAAAUCACGCGUUUAAUUUUCCUAUUUUUCUAUCGCGAUAACGCGUAUUUUUUUUUUAUUUAAUUCAUUUUCGAACAAUUCUAAAGUUUUUUAGAGGCUUGUGUUCUUUGUUCUACUGGUACUGAAACUCACCACCAUCUAUUCUCCGAAUGUACCUACUCCUCUGUUUGGCUUUACUUUGCUUCUCAAAUCCGAUUAUUUCCUCCGAUGGAUUUGCACUCUGCGGCUGCAUGGAUUCUUAGCAACCAGCAACAAACAUCCACCCAGGCGGCAACCAUUCUCAAGAUUAUCUUCCAAGCAUCCAUCUAUCUCCUUUGGAAGGAGAAAAAUGCAAGGAUCUUCGCGGGUAUAUCUACUUCAGCUGAAGGUCUCAAGCACAGCAUUGACCGGUUAGUUCGCAACCGGCUCUUGUCCUUUCCAGCCACAUAUGCCGCUCCUGCCUAUCUUCUCCAGUUCUACUUCUCUUAUAUUAG
rnacentral:lncRNA from 1 species